rnacentral:tRNA from 1 species
GACUUCGUGCCCGAGCGGUUAAGGGGGCAGACUAGAAAGAUGACACGUUCAUGGCGAUCAAUUCCUCGACAUCUGCUGGGUUCCACCCGCGCGAGUUCGAUUCUCGUCGAAGUCG